CAAGGGUUCAUUCAGGUCUCAAAUAAUUAAUAGAAGUGGAUCUAUAGCAACAGUUCACAACAUGCUUUUGUUUGACCUUUUUGCUCUACAUUUUCUACCACUUUGGGACAGUUCUAUGUAAUCGCACCAAAAUCUGACCUCCGUUGCCCUCUGCUGGCUACAUCUUUUACUAAGCAUAACUCACAGUGCACAAUCUCAGAUGUUUACUGGGAAAGUUGCAGAGCACCCUGGUCAGGCUGCUGGAGAUAGAAGCUCUUGGGAACUACCAGCAGCAAAGCUAGAGUUCAGCUCUGCUGAUCACUGCAUCCAUGUUAAUGAGCUUACUGCAGUCACAUUGUUACUUAAGCCAGAGAAAUUAUCUUGUGAACAGAGAAGUAUACUGCUAGCUGAGGAGAGGCACAACAAGCUGCACAUCAAAAUUCCAGAUUAAGAUCUGCAGCGGUUUAUAUCAAUACUUGUGAUGUGGAGCAAAACGUAAGUACUAUGUGUACUUCAUCAAUCACCAGCUUAAGGCCUUCUCCAUAUCACAGUUGACUUCACUGGUGUAGGACGAAACUCAUACUGAAAGAAACAGGACAUGGCUAGAGACUGGAGAACACUAAUUUCAUGUGCAUUUUGGAUUGGAUAUCCUGAGUCAGGAUAACCAGUUAUGUUCAGGAUGAAUUACUUCAAUUUGUGAAGAAACGUAAGAGUUCUGUUGUUUGAAGUCUGCAUUAUAUAUCAUGAAUUUAUUUCCUGCAUUAUUUAGGAGUGUCUCGCACUCUGCAGUGAAGCAUUAUGUAAUGUCAUACUUGGCUUGAAGUACCAGACAUUUUUGCCCUCCUUUUCUACUUUCACCUCUUAUUUCUUGUGCUGUUUUCAUCAUACUAUAACUGUUCAAAUGCUCCCUUGUUUAUUUUUCAUUAAUAACAUUUCUUAGUGAUUUGGAAAAUACUGUUUGUUGGGUGUAAUGAUUAAGAAAUUAGAAAUUAAGAUACAUCAUUGCUGCUAUUGCACGAAUUAAUGCACGCCGACACACCACUCAUCAAAGACAUUAUGUACAGUAUCUUGAUAAAAAGCAGAAGUCAGAAUCAAAAAGCAGUGGAACAGAAGCAAAGAUGCCUAGAAAGAUAACUAUAGUUACACAAAUAUUUAUACUGAGUGCUUAGAAUAAUCUGAGAUAGUUACCUCUUUGUUUUGUUUUGUUUAAUACCUAUGUUUUUGCACUUGCAAUACCAUUUGUCUCAGCACAGUUAGUCUACAAGUUUUGAUUAUGCCUGUGGGACAAUUUUUCCCAAGUUUUCCUGUCCUUUGCAGGUUAAAAAUUCUUUGGAGAUUCAGCUCUGGAAUAAAUUUUGGUAUAUAUAUUUCCAAAUCCCAUUUUUCCUGAUGGUUCUAUGAGUAUCAAAGAUACACAAGUAUAUCAAAGGUAUUUUUAAGAGUUAUUUACAGAUUGUGUCAAAAGAGAAGAGCAGUUUGGUUCUUCUCAUGCCCAAGAACUUUACCUUCCUUUAGGACUUGGUUGUGAAAAUAUUAUUUUUGUGGAUAUAAACUUAUAGGCUUUAGCUUUAAAUAUUUGAUUGUGAGCUGCUGAAUUAAACCAAGAGAUAGCUUUUAUGUUCCUUUCUACUUUUGAUUCUCCUUAUGAGCCUCACCACUGAAAUCUUACAAGCAUGAUGCAAACUGUGUAAUUAUCCCUAUCCUCCUCCCCCAAAAAAUGUGAGAAAGCAUUACACCUCUCAAACGACAAACUCUGAACAGUUUUCUCAGUUCGUAAGUAAAAAACUCUUCUCACAUUGCUCUAACUGCCAGCCCUGUAAACCCAACUUCUUAUGAAAAUUAUUCUCUUCUCUAUCAUUUAUCGUCUUCCCCAAAAGUAAAAAAAAAAAACAUACAAAAUCAAACCAAAACAAAAAUCUUCAGCCAGUUCUGCUGUUUUUUUAUAUAAUAUUCUAAAUUAAUAUAGUUAAAAUAAGAAUUUGUCAUCCUUUAGAAAAAACUUGACAGAAAGCAAAUUUUAAAAACAAUUAUAUGUUUUUAUUGUUAUCAAAACAAUUAGGAAAUUUCCUGGGUGAGAAGGCCAAAAGAUUGGCUUAUGUUUCAGACAUACCAUCUCAUCUACAAAGAAAAAGACAGCUGCAGGUGACAUCACAGCUCCAUCAAUGAAAAAAGGAAAGUUCUUUAUGAGAACAAUAGGAUACAGAUUUUGCUCUAUUUUUUGUUGUUGCUGCUGUUGUUGAAAUGAAAGAAAGGUGUGGAAAACAGUCCCAAAACAUUGGGUAAUGUUGACACGUAAGUAACUACAAGUCUACAUGCUUUCCAAUGAUCUGUUUCCCCAUAUAUUUUGGGAUCAUGUGUUUUCCCAAAACAUGCUUGUUUCUGAUUAGCAACAUAUUUGCAAUCCUUGCAAAAUAAGGUGUUUACCAUGAGCCUAAGGAAUCUCCCUUAGAAGUGCUUUUGAGGUGCAGAACCUGAGCAGAGCCCCAAGGUUGCUGCAAGCUGCAACUUACCACAUGACACACAUCUUUAAACGCUACACCAUAAUUCUUCAACCAAAUCCCAGUUGCAACAAUAUAUAUGUGCAAGAAUAACAAAUUUCUUAUUAAAGAAAGGGGAAAAGAUAGUCACUGCAAUAUCUUACACCAUCUUUUGUGCAACACCACCAACACUGAUAAUGCAGAACUGCCAAGUUAUACUGACUUUCAGAAACACUUCACAAUGUCAAUCUAAAGAUCAUCCUUUAUUUUCAAUAUAUAUAUAUAUAUUAAUGAGAGUGUGCACAUCUGGAAGCUGUUAUAAAGGUCUUGUAAACUACUGUCAUCAGAAUAUCAGUUAAACAGGUGUGUGCUGAUAGCUAUGGAUCAUAAUAGACUCAUUAAACUUAAUGACUAUCAGCAGCACAGACUUUAGUGUUUAACAUAUCCCAGUCUUGAGCCUUGAGGUCUGUUAAGAUUAGAGAUAUAACAUCAUUUAUUUUGUCGUACAUCCUAAAGAAGAAUGCAGAUAUAAUGAGAUCUUCCAUAGAAGGGACUGUAUGGGUACCUAAUAGGAUCAGUCGGUGGGAGCCAAACUGUUACGGUCUCCUCAUUUGACACCUCUCAUCCGGGUCCCAUCUGGUUCCUCCAGAUGGUGAUAGACUUAACCUAUAUGUUUGAAUUCAUCUAUUCUCAUCCCCAUUGCAUAAAGGAGCAUCUUUGAGUAGACUGACAUCUUCAGGCUAGGUGUAUACUGAAUGAAUACUCCUACAGGGAGAAACACAAGUGGUUAGUUUCCCUUACAGUAGUGGCUAGCCCAUUGGUCUUAUAAAGAUAUUUGAAGAUGGAAAAAGCAUUCUGAUAAAAAAUUAUUUCUACUAGCAGUGCUGGCAGAUAUUUUGUCUCAGAGUUUGACAACUGUAAAUUGGAAAAUAUCCUAGAAGAUGCAGGUGUAUACUCGUGAUCAGCCACAGGAGUGAUCAUACUAUGACUGACCAUUAGUAACACAUACAGAAGAACCCUCAAAGAGGCAUAUGUGACACUCAGAGGUAUAUGACAACAUAUUUCAAGUCACAGUCACUUGUAGGAUCAUAACUAUAAUACUAAUGUGCACUAUUCAGGAAAGCUGAAGUCCUGCUAGAACAGAUGUAGAAAAGGACAAUAGGUUUGAUGGAUACAGAAGUUUUCUUACAAUGAGAAAUUAAAAGACCCUUCUUUGUUCAGUCCAGAAGAAAGAAGGCUAAACUGAGACAUGAUAUCACUGCAGAAAUGUUAAGGAGAAGAGCACUUGAUAAGAAUUUCUCAAAGGUAAGUGUAGGCUAGCUAAACAAGAGUUUCUCUCAAAGGGGAGAGUUUAAAAAGCAGUUUUUCAAAGAAGAAUGGGACAAAACUUUUAAGUAACUUUGUGAUAGUUUAGAACACCUGUAAGCAGAAUAUGACAGUGUGGCUGUCUACAGUCCUAUGUUUCCAUUUUUCUCCUAUUAAUCCUGGACUUUAAAAAUCCUCAGGAAGAAAAUCUGAAGAAGUUAAUCUGAAGGUAAAGAUGUUCCUGUAUCUUCUAUGUGUGCUAAAAAUAUAACAACAAAAUAGCAAAGAAUUACAUUGGGGCAGGUCAAAAAUACACCCCAAUACUGGAAGUGAACUGUUACUUUGUGGUCAUGGAGAAAAAGAAAAGGAAUACCUGGAGUAUCUAUCAACAUUUCAAGUUACUCCCAUCUUUCGCAUGUCCCUCCUUCUAUUUCUGUCACUUUACUCUAAGUGAAAUUGCUUUUAAUUAAAUAAUAGUGUCUCUGUCCUGCAUCUUUGGUGUGAAAUGAAAUAAAAGGAGGCUAUAGUAUUCCAUAAAGGUUUUGACGGUUUCUGUUGUUUCUUUUCUUUUUAAUUUCCAGUUCAAGUUUUCUGAAUAUUCUGCAUAUUGACACAUAUUAUGAAGGAUAAUGGAUGUGAAAGCUGCUUUGUAUUUUACAAAUAUGGAAUGUCACUUGUAUUUUUUAAUGAAAAAUACUCCAUGUUGCUCAUCAUCAACAACAGAUCGAUGAUGAUGGAAUGACAGUUCCAUGGAUCAACUGCAGUGAAUGAGCUCCCACUUAGCAUAAUGGAUGAGCACCACCAGAGUGUGUAUUGCAGGGGCCUCAGACUGCAGAUCCACAAAUCACUCAGCAGACAUGAAAACUUUCUAUUGGUCUUUGCAGUCCAUAAAGAAUUAUCAGCAAGAGCUCUUUCUUAGUAACUGGAUGUUGGGGAUAAACACCACUGCACAGAGACAGGUCCCCAGCAGAAGAGAAACUUGUCUGGCUUCUUCAGGAGAAGCCUUCCUGGAGACAUGCCAGCAAACUCCAUCCCAUAUUCUCUGAUCCCGUAUAAACACUUGAGAACAUGCUUAACUUUAAGCAUAUGAGUUGUCCUAUAGACGUCAAUAGUGUUACUAAUGUGCCUGAAGUUAAAUAUGCAUCAAGUGCUGUGCUGGAAUAGGGCCAAGGGCUCAGAAACUUGCAGGAUCAAGGUUUGGCUGAAGAACAGAGAGUAAGAAGGGAGACAAAAGAUGAGAGAUACUGAAUUACUCUCAUGCCCUCUUGCGUCAGUCCACAGUGGAAGCAAGCACUGGGAUAAACCCCUAUUACAGUAAAAGUUAAAGGAACACCUGUACAGAAAACUGAAACACUAAAAGAUACUGUAAACACUCUUUUUUACAGCAUACAGUGUCUUUAGAUUGUUAUAUGGUAUUACAUUUUAAAGCAGACACACUGAUGUCACUGCAGGAAAACAUCACAAAAACACUGCAGCAAACAAGCUUCUCUUUCAACAGAUGCCUGGUUGACUCACUCUCACAGCUGCACCAAAGUAGUGCAAUGUGUUUCUGGAGAGCAUUCUUGUUUGUGAAGUCUUUAUUGGGAUACUCUGACUGGAGGGGAGUGCAGCCGCUUUUCAUUUCUUGUGGCAGUCAGAAAGUUUCAUUGAAUAUUUCUGAGCUCUCAAUAUCUUCCAAAACACAUGCUGAAUUUCCUGGCUCUCUUCCUUAAAAUCUGGUCUGGGUUUUUACCCCGUCCCUUCUCAAAUUACU